rnacentral:lncRNA from 1 species
AAAAAUAAAUUCCUCUUAAAUAGGAGCACCAAAACCCAUUAUAGCUGGCUAUUUACACGCGAAUUUGAAUUAGUCAGAUCACUAGAUUCCAAACGAAUCAUAAUAAAAGUUAAACUAAAUAUACAUAUAGUUGGUGCGUGAAGUAUCGUCAGUCGCUUUCGCAAAUCCCAGUUAAAAAUGCUGAGCCCAACCACUAAAGUUUUACCAGUUUGAAGAGACCUGUCCAUUUUCAAACCAAAUGUUCUCCACCAGAUGCAGAUUCUAAGUUAUUCAAAUCUCAGUCAAAGAUCAUCCAUACCAGCUUCCUUCCGUCUAUAUAUUGUUCUACCAGAAAUGCUUCAUCAGACAAUGCUGAAAAUUACUCUAUCCAAUGAAAAAGCAUUUGCAUCUCAUUGGUAUCCUGGACCACAUUUUAUUCACACACUCAAAACAUAAAUUGCAAAGCAGACUUCCCUUUUUAUUAUACUAGUAAUUUGGGUGGGUCGGAGGGGGGUAAGGAAACAUAAUGGUGCGCGUAGUAUGUCGCAUUCAAUACGUAUGUAGUUACAUUAUGACAUAAUUAUCACGACUUUACUCCACUGACCGCGACAAGGACCCUUAUGUGCAAGAGUACUGAAGUUAAAGAUAUCUCCUUGCUACAACACACUGAUUUUAUCCAAAGAAAACUUUUUUCUAAGGAUUACUAUGAAACAAUAGGAAAAUUUUACAACAGUUACAUCUCCUAACUAUGACAUUUGGAACAGCAAUUUGAAGAAAGAAAAGAAUAAAUAUAUUUGUUUUAUACCCUCACCCCUUUUUCUAUCUUUUUUCUCCAAGUGGAAGACUAAAACCAGCUUUCCUACAUUGCUGGGAAUAAUGGGAUUGUUUGUCUGCUAAAGAUACAUAAUACAACAUGGAUAAAACAUUCAAGAAGUCAAUAAUAGCUCACUACCUUGAACAUUCUGUUGUAACAAGCAACUCCCUUCAUUCCUCCAACCCAAUCAUCAUUUAGGUAGUGCUGCUGGCCAGACUCAUUGCUAUUCAUUUCAUUGCCGGGAGUCGAGGAGCUCAUUUGGUUGAGGCAUGUGUAUAGCCAUGGCUACUUAGUCUCCAUCUACACAGAGUCCAUUGCAACAAAGGUUAAUUACCAAUUUUGUGAUCUUGGGAUUUGGAUAUAAUUAAUAAAGACAGUGGUCAAGAAAAGCAGGAUCUUACAAAGCCUCAUCUCGCCAAUGUCAGAAUAAGCAUUUUCAUAUUUACAAGUUCCAAUUAACGCCUAUAUGCAGCUAAAGGAAGGGGGCUUGAG